AUCCUUACCUGGCAGGGGGAGACACCAUUAUCUUGAAGUUGUUUUCCCAGGAUGAGGUUCACUCAUUGCAUUUCAGGUGUGCUGAUUCCUGUGAUUUUCCCCAAUGCAGGAAACUUGGCUGCAUAAUUGGUGAUGGUGGGGGACUGUGAUUGCUCUCUCCCCAU